rnacentral:rRNA from 1 species
GUCCACGCCGUAAAACGAUGUCUACUAGCCGUUGGGAUCCUUGAGGUCUUAGUGGCGCAGCUAACGCAAUAAGUAGACCGCCUGGGGAGUACGGUCGCAAAGAUUAAAAACUCAAAUGAAUUGACGGGGGCCCGCACAAGCGGUGGAGCAUGUGGUUUAAUUCGACGCAACGCGAAGAACCUUACCAGGUCUUGACAUCCAGAGAAUUCGCCAGAGAUGGCUUAGUGCCUUCGGGAGCUCUGAGACAGGUGCUGCAUGGCUGUCGU